CCUACGGUGGACUGCAGUGGUGAAUAUUGCACAAUGGGGGAAACCCUGAUGCAGCGACGCCGCGUGAGUGAAGAAGUAUCUCGGUACGUAAAGCUCUAUCAGCAGGGAAGAAAAUGACGGUACCUGACUAAGAAGCCCCGGCUAACUACGUGCCAGCAGCCGCGGUAAUACGUAGGGGGCAAGCGUUAUCCGGAUUUACUGGGUGUAAAGGGAGCGUAGACGGCGGUGCAAGCCAGAUGUGAAAGCCUGGGGCUCAACCCCGGGACUGCAUUUGGAACUGUGCUGCUAGAGUGUCGGAGAGGCAGGCGGAAUUCCUAGUGUAGCGGUGAAAUGCGUAGAUAUUAGGAGGAACACCAGUGGCGAAGGCGGCCUGCUGGACGAUGACUGACGUUGAGGCUCGAAAGCGUGGGGAGCAAACAGGAUUAGAUACCCUAGUAGUC
rnacentral:rRNA from 1 species